CCUAAUCUGGGAGGAAGCGCAGAAGCCCUGGUUCCUGUUUCUCUCUCCCUCUCUCCUCCCUCGUUUCUCCCUGUGUCCCUCUCCCCUCCCUCCUAUCUCUCACUUCUCCAUCCCCCUCACAUCCGAUGAAGGUUGAUUAUAAAGAGGGCAGUGAGCCUGUCUUUCCUAAAGUGACUGAGACUUUAGUCACAAAGGCUAGAGAGAAGAUGUGGGAGGAGAGAAUAAGAGUCCAGAGGACCAGGAAAGUUACUGAAAACUCAAGCUUUGACCACCUGCACAAGGUAUACCAAAGGUGCCCAGGGUCAGAUGGUUUGGCACCACUCCAGUCACCUCCAUCAAGCAAAAUAAGCAAGGUGCAAUCUCACUAUGUUGCCUAGGCUGGACUU